UACGGAGGAUGCAAGCGUUAUCCGGAUUUAUUGGGUUUAAAGGGUGCGUAGGCGGAUAUGUAAGUCAGCGGUGAAACUCACAGGCUCAACCUGUGCCGUGCCGUUGAAACUGUGUAUCUGGAAUGCUGAUGCUGUGGGAGGAAUGUGUAGUGUAGCGGUGAAAUGCAUAGAUAUUACACAGAACACCGAUUGCGAAGGCAUCUCACAAAGCCGUUAUUGACGCUGAGGCACGAAAGUGUGGGGAUCAAA
rnacentral:rRNA from 1 species